AUUUUAUACUUAAUUUAUGUUUUCUUUGCAAAAACAACUACCAAUAUUUUCUACAGAGAGUAAAUUUCAAAUUCUUGCUUUAACAAACCGACCUUUUUUAAUUUCCAUGUCAAGUCUUGCACGAUGUUAACGAUAUUAACAGUUUGUACAAUUGCGAAAAUAAUAUUUUUAAAAUGAUUUUAUUUCGAAUGGAGGCAAAUGAGGGGUAAACCUUUUCUGUGAAAAUAUGAAUUGUAUCAUUAAAACCUUGGCAAAACCAAAAUUACUGUUAUCAAAACAAAAUAAAAUCUUAUAAUUAGAUGC
rnacentral:sRNA from 1 species